UACGUAGGUGGCAAGCGUUGUCCGGAUUUACUGGGCGUAAAGAGCGCGCAGGCGGUCGUUCAAGUCGCGUGUGAAAGCCCCCGGCUCAACUGGGGAGGGUCACGCGAUACUGAUCGACUCGAAGGCAGGAGAGGGAAGUGGAAUUCCCGGUGUAGUGGUGAAAUGCGUAGAUAUCGGGAGGAACACCAAUGGCGAAAGCAGCUCUCUGGGACGGUACUGACGCUGAGACGCGAAAGCGUGGGGAGCGAACAGG
rnacentral:rRNA from 1 species